ensembl:lncRNA
GGCAGGAUGAGAAAUGCUGGUGUCCUGCCCCUCCUGGGAGAUGGCCCUCUGACGGGGAGUUAGGGGAGGGGGGAACCCUGUGGUCUUGGCUGCAUGUGUCUACAGUGGAGUUUCCUUCUCUAUGAGGCAUCUUCAAAACUCAUGGGCUUUGUUGAACCUAGAGGAGGCUGUCAGCAGGGCCUGCAGUCUUCACCACCUCCCUGCCUGCAUGGUGGGGCCUCAGGCACCUUCCUCUCUCAGCAGCUGCACUGAAAAGUCCCUGUAGUGUUUUAACCUUCAAUAGUUACAAAUGGUGACAGGAAAGCUUUGGCAACUCCCAUUGUCAUCCAAUCCCCUGAAGACCGUCCUCAUCACUGUUCCCAUGCUGACCGCCUCCUGCUGUUCUGAUGGAUUCUGAGCAGCUCACAGGGAGUGGGACCAGCUCCAGCAUCAGUUGUUACCGCUUUCUAGAGAGCUCCUCCUGGGAGGUGCCUGGGUGUGUCCAGGAGCAGAGGAAGAAAGGGUCCUGAAGGGCUGGAUGGCAACAUCACGUUGAGAGACUAGGUGACCUGGUGCUGUCCCUUUACACUCUCUUCACAUUUUAUUCCAGAAACAGGCUGAACUGUUUUUAUUUUUAAAUUAGUCUAAAGCUUCAAAUCCAAUAGAAUAUUUAAAAAAUAAUUUCAAUGUUUUCCUUUAGUAUACAUUUAGAUCCUCAAAUUCAUAUUUUAAAAUUGGUAUUAUAUAGAAUGUUUUGUAACUACCAUUUCCACUUAAUAUAAAAAUUUAAUGUAUUAAAAUAAUACUUUACAGGUAUUUAAAAUUAGCACAAUAUUCUUUUGGCAUUUUAAUUUUAUUGUUGGAAAUUUGUGGUUCUUAUUUCUCUUAUGUUUAGUAGUAUUGAGAUUCAAACUGAAGUUUUGUGUAUAAUCAUGAUUAUUUCUUUAGGAUACACUCUGAAAGUGAAAUUACACACACUAAAGAUAUAGACACUUUAAAGCUAUGAUACCUAGUGCCAACAUCCCUGCAAAAUUUUUACCAAUUUCUCCCUCUGAUGCUGUGUGAGAAUUAUGCCUCUUUCUCACAUGAUCAUCAAUACUACAAAUUAUCAGUUUUAACCUUUGCUAAUUGGAUAUGAGAACAAUUUCAUAGAAUUUAAAUUUGUAUUUCCACUAUUCCUUACAUACAUUCCUUAGUGCAUCAUGUUCCCGUCUCUGUUCUCGGCUCUGGAGGCACAGCAGUGGAUAAGGGAGAUAUUCUCAAGGGGAGACAUAUUGUGGGGAAGUAGGUGGUCUGCCAUCAUGUGUUCCUCACAUUUCCAUGGAGGGGAGGACCUCCCUACCCCGGAUGAAGCACUUUGGGAUACACCCGCCCUCUCUGUCCUCUAGUUGACAUGAUUUGUGAAACAGGAAAAAGGCACUGAGGAUGGCCCUCCUCUGCUCCUCUGUUUGGUCAGACACAUUUCCAUGCUU